GACGAACGCUGGCGGCGUACUUAACACAUGCAAGUCGAACGGAAAGGCCCCUUCGGGGGUACUCGAGUGGCGAACAGGUGAGUAACACGUGAGUAACCUGCCCUUGACUUCGGGAUAACUUCAGGAAACUGGGGCUAAUACCGGAUAGGAAUCCUUGCUGCAUGGUGGGGGUUGGAAAGCUUCGGCGGUUUUGGAUGGACUCGCGGCUUAUCAGCUUGUUGGUGGGGUAGUGGCUUACCAAGGCUUUGACGGGUAGCCGGCCUGAGAGGGCGACCGGCCACAUUGGGACUGGGAUACGGCCCAGACUCCGACGGGAGGCAGCAGUGGGGAAUAUUGAAAAAUGGGCGGAAGCCUGAUGCAGCAACGCCGCGUGCGGGAUGACGGCCUUCGGGUUGUAAACCGCUUUCAGCAGGGGCGAAGCUUGUGGUGACGGUACCUGCAGAAGAAGCACCGGCUAACUACGUG
rnacentral:rRNA from 1 species